GAAAAAACUGGUAGUAACUCAAUGUAGAUACACAUAGUCGAUGGAGUUACUUGCUAAUAACUGGCAAUGAGACAUACUUGCUUCAAAUGAUGCCUUUAAAGUUUGAAAAGAUUUUUUUAAAUUCAAAUGUCGACUUUUUGUUACAUGAAAAAAGAUACUUAUUUCAACCCCUCGACUAUAUUGAUACACUUAGUAUGUGGAGUUACUUGUCAAUAGCUGGCGAUGAAACUUUUAAACGUAACGUCUUUAAGGGCUGAGAAGGUAAAAAUUAGAAGUCUGCAGACUGCAACGUAAAUCGAUUUCAACACGUUAUGGCUUCUCGAAUAUAUUUAGUUUCCGAUUGAAAUGAGAAUAAACUGAACUUAUAUAUAAAGUGUUUACAAUUAACUUUUUAAACUAGAAAUACUCCAAAGGAGGUUCUCCAAACGCAAGUUAAGCAAAGUCGAUAGAUGUUAAUAUCUUUUAUAUUUUGUUUUAGAUAUAAGAAAAAAUUUUUGUGACUUU
rnacentral:lncRNA from 1 species